CGGCCUCUCUUUUGGUCCAGCUAGCGAUGUCUUCAUCUAUUUCUCCCCUUUUCCCUGGUCUCUCUACUUUUGACAUCCUUGAGGCUGAUAGUGUUUGUCAGGGUUCCCACAAUGGGGCUAAGAUUUUCGUCACUUCUCAACCCUGAUGUCAGGGAGCUGUCAGAAACUCAGCAGAAAUGGAAAAUGGGGAACUUUCUCCUCACAGUAGGAAGUCCUUGUCUGGGAAUAAUGAGCAAAGAUGAAAUCAUCACAAGCCAUCUAAAAGGCAGCGGCUCUCUCUGAACCUGGAGCUCACCAUUCCACCUGACUGGCUGGCCAGUGCAUUCCAGGGAUCUGUCUGCCUCUACUUCCUCAGCUCUGAGCUUGCAGAUAUAUGCUGUUUUAGUAGUUUUGUUUUCUU
rnacentral:lncRNA from 1 species